CCAAAGGACCAACUGACUCGGA
rnacentral:siRNA from 1 species